AACCGCGGCCAUACGAUUAGUCCAAAUUAAUAAGCAUACGGCGUAAAGCGUAUCAGAAGAAUUAAGAAAAUAAAGUUAAAUCUUAUACUAGCUGUUUAAAGCUCAAGAUAAGACAUAAAUAGCCUACGAAAGUGACUUUAAUAAUCCUAAACAUACGAUAGCUAGGGUA
rnacentral:rRNA from 1 species